rnacentral:rRNA from 1 species
UGCAGUCGAGCGGUAACAGGAAUUAGCUUGCUAAUUUGCUGACGAGCGGCGGACGGGUGAGUAACGCGUAGGAAUCUGCCUGGUAGUGGGGGACAACAUGUGGAAACGCAUGCUAAUACCGCAUACGCCCUACGGGGGAAAGGAGGGGAUCUUCGGACCUUUCGCUAUCAGAUGAGCCUGCGUGAGAUUAGCUAGUUGGUGGGGUAAAGGCUCACCAAGGCGACGAUCUCUAGCUGGUCUGAGAGGAUGAUCAGCCACACUGGGACUGAGACACGGCCCAGACUCCUACGGGAGGCAGCAGUGGGGAAUAUUGGACAAUGGGCGCAAGCCUGAUCCAGCCAUGCCGCGUGUGUGAAGAAGGCCUUCGGGUUGUAAAGCACUUUCAGAGGUGAGGAAGGGUGUGCCGUUAAUACCGGUAUGCUUUGACGUUAGCCUCAGAAGAAGCACCGGCUAACUCUGUGCCAGCAGCCGCGGUAAUACAGAGGGUGCGAGCGUUAAUCGGAAUUACUGGGCGUAAAGCGCGCGUAGGUGGUCUGUUAAGUCGGAUGUGAAAGCCCAGGGCUCAACCUUGGAAUUGCACCCGAUACUGGCAAGCUAGAGUACGGUAGAGGGGUGUGGAAUUCCC